GGGGGCGCAACGGUUUCGACGGGGUUGUGACCGGUCGAGGCUGCGUGCCGAGGUGCCCUGCCCUCGUAAAACCCAAGGCAAACCAACACAAGUGCCAACAACAACAAGCACUUCGCUCUCGCCGCGUAAAGCCGCGUGAGCCGUCCGACCCACCUGCGCCAGGGCGGGUGGACUCGGGCGCGUCCAAUCCUGGCUAGUCCCGACCCGCUACGUGGCGUGGCGGCGGGGGACGAAAAACCUCCUUCAAUUCGCCACCAACGUCGGUCGAGGGCCUGGUCUCGGACCCGGCCGGCGUCGUUCUUCCGAGACCUACGCACGUAGACGCCGACACCGGGCAGCUUCGGACGCGGGUUCGACUCCCGCCGCCUCCACCA
rnacentral:tmRNA from 1 species